rnacentral:rRNA from 1 species
UACGGAAGGCAGCAGUGGGGAAUAUUGCACAAUGGGCGCAAGCCUGAUGCAGCCAUGCCGCGUGUAUGAAAAAGGCCUUCGGGUUGUAAAGUACUUUCAGUCGUGAGGAAGGUGUUAAGGUUAAUAACCUUAGCAAUUGACGUUAGCGACAGAAGAAGCACCGGCUAACUCCGUGCCAGCAGCCGCGGUAAUACGGAGGGUGCGAGCGUUAAUCGGAAUUACUGGGCGUAAAGGGCACGCAGGCGGUUAAUUAAGUUGGAUGUGAAAUCCCCGGGCUUAACCUGGGAAUGGCAUUCAAGACUGGUUAGCUAGAGUCUUGUAGAGGGGGUAGAAUUCCAUGUGUAGCGGUGAAAUGCGUAGAGAUGUGGAGGAAUACCGGUGGCGAAGGCGGCCCCUGGACAAAGACUGACGCUCAUGUGCGAAAGCGUGGGGAGCAAACAGGGAUUAUACCCGU